rnacentral:rRNA from 1 species
CCUACGGGAGGCAGCAGUAGGGAAUCUUCCGCAAUGGACGAAAGUCUGACGGAGCAACGCCGCGUGAACGAUGAAGGCCUUCGGGUCGUAAAGUUCUGUUGUUAGGGAAGAACAAGUGUUAGUUGAAUAAGCUGGCACCUUGACGGUACCUAACCAGAAAGCCACGGCUAACUACGUGCCAGCAGCCGCGGUAAUACGUAGGUGGCAAGCGUUGUCCGGAAUUAUUGGGCGUAAAGCGCGCGCAGGCGGUUUCUUAAGUCUGAUGUGAAAGCCCCCGGGCUCAACCGGGGAGGGUCAUUGGAAACUGGGAAACUUGAGUGCAGAAGAGGAAAGUGGAAUUCCAAGUGUAGCGGUGAAAUGCGUAGAGAUUUGGAGGAACACCAGUGGCGAAGGCGACUUUCUGGUCUGUAACUGACGCUGAGGCGCGAAAGCGUGGGGAGCAAACAGGAUUAGAUACCCUGGUAGUCCACGCUGUAAACGAUGAGUGCUAAGUGUUAGAGGGUUUUCCGCCCUUUAGUGCUGAAGUUAACGCAUUAAGCACUCCGCCUGGGGAGUACGGUCGCAAGACUGAAACUUAAGGAAUUGACGG